CAAGGCGACGAUCCCUAGCUGGUCUGAGAGGAUGACCAGCCACACUGGAACUGAGACACGGUCCAGACUCCUACGGGAGGCAGCAGUGGGGAAUAUUGCACAAUGGGCGCAAGCCUGAUGCAGCCAUGCCGCGUGUAUGAAGAAGGCCUUCGGGUUGUAAAGUACUUUCAGCGGGGAGGAAGGUGUUGUGGUUAAUAACCGCAGCAAUUGACGUUACCCGCAGAAGAAGCACCGGCUAACUCCGUGCCAGCAGCCGCGGUAAUACGGAGGGUGCAAGCGUUAAUCGGAAUUACUGGGCGUAAAGCGCACGCAGGCGGUCUGUCAAGUCGGAUGUGAAAUCCCCGGGCUCAACCUGGGAACUGCAUUCGAAACUGGCAGGCUUGAGUCUUGUAGAGGGGGGUAGAAUUCCAGGUGUAGCGGUGAAAUGCGU
rnacentral:rRNA from 1 species